ACCUGGGUGGCUCAGUGGUUGAGCAUCUGCCUUCGGUGCAGACCUGAUCACAGGUCCUGGGAUUGAGUCCCACAUCAGGCU
rnacentral:tRNA from 1 species